rnacentral:lncRNA from 1 species
GCCAGGCGUGGUGGCGGGCACCUGUAAUCCCAGCUACUAGGGAGGCUGAGGCAGGAGAAUCGCUUGAACCCGGGAGGCGGAGGUUGUAGUGAGCCGAGAUCAUGCCACUGUACUCCAGCCUGGGUGACAGACCAAGACUCAGUCUCAAAAAAUAAAUAAAAUAAAAUAAAAUAAAAUAAAUAAAGGAUCAUCAUCACCAGGGGGCGAAAGGAAGCUUUGCAAUUUUCUUUCUUUUUUUUUUUUGAGAUGGAGUCUUGCUCUGUAACCCAGGCUGGAGUGCAGUGGCACGAUCUCGGCUCACUGCAAGCUCCGCC